ACUCCACACCUAGGAAAGACAAAGAGAAUGCGAUUAAUGGCCUUAAGCCUCCUUGUCAGCAGUGUCAUCGCCAUAGCUUGGGAAGCCUAGCCUAUUGUUGGAGGUUAUUGGCCUUGGUGGUAGGAUAUCCAACCCAUUUCUUGUGUUAACCCUUGCCUCAACUUCUGGUGAUGGAUAUAUGGUUACCAAGCAAAGUGUAAUUCCUUUGCUUUGUUUAGGAGCUCCGUCUGGGUCUGCAGCUCCUGGGAUGUUAGAGCACUCUAAGGCCUGUCUCCUCCAAGAAAAGGAACACAUAGUGCUCAGCUAGCUUGGGAGCUGCAGUGCCGCUACAGAUGGACUACACAGUGCACCAAACCUUGGUCCAUUCAACAUUGCUCAUGUUUGCUGCUACAUGGGUAAGCCAGUCUAUGAC
rnacentral:lncRNA from 1 species